AUGUUAUUUCUGGUGUCUGUUCCAUGUUGUAUUCUAUUUGUGUGUGUGAAUUGGUUUAAUGUUGUGAUAUUUGUUGUGUUUAGGGCCGUAAUGUGGGCAGGGCGACCAGGGCAAUCGCCCCGGGCACCGCAACCAGAGUGCACCUGGAUGACAAAUGAACAAAAUUCAAAAAUUCAGAUUAUGUUGGUAAAUGAAUUUUUUUAGAAAUUUUAAUCGUAAUUCAGAUAUUUUAAUAAUGAUAAGGCCAUGGCUAAGUAAAAUUACCGGUAAUGUAAAACAUUGUCUAGGAUUAUUCAACUGGAACUCUCUCCAGCU
rnacentral:lncRNA from 1 species